GGCGCCGAAGCUUAGGGGCUAAAGCGCCUGUCUCGUAAACAGGAGAUCCUGGGUACAAAUCCCAGCGGUGCCU
rnacentral:tRNA from 1 species